GGUCACUUAGCUCAGUUGGUUAGAGCGCCUCGUUUACACCGAGGAGGUCGCUGGUUCGAGUCCAGCAGUGGCCA
rnacentral:tRNA from 1 species